rnacentral:rRNA from 1 species
ACGGGCGGUGAGUGCAACCCCUUUCGUAUGUUGCCAUCAUUAAGUUGGGCACUCAUGCGAUACUGCCUGCGAUGAGCAGGAGGAAGGUGGGGAUGACGUCAAGUCAUCAUGCCCCUUAUACGCUGGGCUACACACGUGCUACAAUGGGUAGUACAGAGAGUCGCAAACCUGCGAGGGGGAGCUAAUCUCAGAAAACUAUUCUCAGUUCGGAUUGUACUCUGCAACUCGAGUACAUGAAGUUGGAAUCGCUAGUAAUCGCAAAUCAGCUAUGUUGCGGUGAAUACGUUCUCGGGUCUUGCACACACCGCCCGU